CAAGCGUUCCAAUUUGUUCCCUGUCCUCAUCAACAUUUGUUAUUUCUAGGCUUUUUGUUAAUAGCCACUCUAACAGGUCUUCCCAGGUGGCACUAGUGGUGAAGAACCCACAUGCCAGUGCAGGAGAUGUAAGAGACUCAGGUUUGAUCCCUGUGUUGGGAAGAUGCCUGAAGAAGGGCCGGGCAACCAACUCCAGUAUUCUUGCCUGGAGAAUUCCAUGGACAGAGGAGCCUGGCAAGCUACAGUUCAUGGGGUCACACUGAGUCAGACACAACUGAAGCAACUUAGCAUGCAUGCAACAGACCAGUCAACGCCACAUCCUGUGAAAUCCAGCUUCAACAGAUAAGCUCCUCACAGACCCGAGAAUCCACACAAGAAUUCCAUGAGACAGACAGAGAAGAUGCGUAACUUAGGAGGAUCAACUUACCCAAAGGAUGUGUAGUGCAAACCAGACUCUAAGGGCAGAGGGAAGUUGCCCAUAGGGCUCUUCACUGCAAUAGGCUGGCUCCUUAAGCUGCUAAAAGGCUCCAAACCUAGGUGAGCAUCAAAAGUCAGGGUUUAGAGACACUUAGUUGGUCUAAUAGACAUCUUCUGUCUUUGUCUA
ensembl:lncRNA